GUCUACAGACAUGCCACCCUGAACAAGCCCAAUGUCUUAUCUCGGAAGCUAAGCAGGGUUGAGCCUGGUUAGUACUUGGAUGGGGACCCAGCUAGGAAGACCAGGCACUGUAGGCA
rnacentral:rRNA from 1 species